UACGAGGGGGGCAAGCGUUGUUCGGAAUUAUUGGGCGUAAAGGGCGCGUAGGCGGCUCUGCACGUCCGUUGUGAAAUCGCCCGGCUCAACUGGGCGGGGUCAGCGGAUACGGCAGAGCUUGAGCAAGCUAGGGGGCAAUGGAAUUCCCGGUGUAGUGGUGGAAUGCGUAGAUAUCGGGAGGAACACCAGUGGCGAAGGCGGCUCACUGGCCCGGUACUGACGCUGAGGUGCGAAAGCGUGGGGAGCAAACAGG
rnacentral:rRNA from 1 species